GUUCCUGAAGCACAAUGGAUAGCGCGUUGGACAUCUAAUCGAAAGGUCGUGGGCUCGAAUCCCACUUGGGAUG
rnacentral:tRNA from 1 species